rnacentral:rRNA from 1 species
UUGUCUGGUGAAUUUCAACAUGUUGAAAAAAGAGGUAAAAAAGCCUCAUUUGGCGUAAGUUUUUUGCAGAGAACCCACGCUUAUACCUUAGACAUAAAUCCUUUGAUAGUCGCUUGAUUAGCUGCGCACCAUACGCAGCCCUGGCCUCGCCACCUUGUUCAAAUUCGACAAUUCGUCGGCCAAUUUCCUGGUACGUCGCGGUCAUUAACGCGUUAACGCUACGUACCGUUUCCGUCCGGGCGCUAUCGACCAGAUGAAUAAUACCGUCGUGGAUUUGCUGGUAGCCUGCUGUGGUUCCUUCUGAGAGCGAUUCCAUUAUCUGUCCCUUUAUAUGGAGCUAAGUUGAAUAAUGGAAUGAGCUAUACUCUGGGGGGUGAGCACUGAACAAUUAAGAACAGCGUAUUACAUUUACUUUCCCCAAGAUAUGCGAAGAGCUUUCCUGAAACAUUAACCGAUCGUAUAAAACGAAUGCCUGAUAGUACUCCUGUCCGGCAUUGUUAUCACAAGUAGACUACGCUUAUCACAGCUUUCCCAUCAAGUUCGAUUUUUUCUGAACCGCCUAAAUCAUUCGCGAUAGAUGCGCUCACCUGAAGCGGUAUAAUGGCGUUCGUUACAGGAGUUGGGGUUGUUUCACCUGGUUUUACAAAGGUGUAAUAAUAGCUUUGAUCGACUGCAAGCGGAUAAGCGGUGAGCGUUUGCCAUGCUCUUUUUUGCCCUGUUAUGACGGCAUCUGCACCUGCUAUUGAUACAGCUAACGUCUGGCUACCAUUGCUGGCACUAAUGUUGUUGCUAUCAAUUAACACGGCAUAACUACCGAUAUUUUUAUUAUCUUUUGUUUUCCCUAAGCCGAAUAAGCGCGUUGUCUGGCUAAUAUAACCUCCGCCAUUUAAGGUAUAUUUUACACCACUCUGACCCCCACUAUCUUUUCCGGUGGUCAUACUAUCCAUUCGUGUAUCACGAGCGGUAAUCGCAAUGCCGGUAGCGGAUUCGCAAGUUAUAGUCAUAUUAAUAUUACGUGUUCCAAUCUGUGUGUAGUGCUGCGUUGAAAGUCUAUUGACUGAAUGACUACCGAAGUUAACAACUCCGCCGUUGCUUAGUAUUGGAGUACAAGCUGCAGCUUCCAGAGUCACCUUAACGUCAAUUGAUACUCUAUCAGCGGCUUGCGCUGACAUGGCAAAAAAGGCACUUCCGGCAAUCAGUAAUUUUACAUUGUUCAUUUUGCCUCCACCAGGACCGUCAGAUUGCCUGUAAUAUCUGUCAUGUCGGUUAGUUCCCCUUCAUCCUUAAAAGCUGGAGCCAUUGUCAGUGUGAGGCUAACGCUUUUACCGCUAUCAAUUACCACUUCUUGACCAUUUUGCAUAAACACCAGCCAA